UACGAAGGGGGCUAGCGUUGCUCGGAAUCACUGGGCGUAAAGCGCACGUAGGCGGCUUUUUAAGUCAGGGGUGAAAUCCUGGAGCUCAACUCCAGAACUGCCUUUGAUACUGAGAAGCUCGAGUCCGGGAGAGGUGAGUGGAACUGCGAGUGUAGAGGUGAAAUUCGUAGAUAUUCGCAAGAACACCAGUGGCGAAGGCGGGUCUCUGGGCCGAUAUUGACGCUGAGGAGCGAAAGCGUGGGGAGCGAACAGG
rnacentral:rRNA from 1 species